UACGUAGGGAGCAAGCGUUGUCCGGAAUUACUGGGCGUAAAGGGCGCGUAGGCGGGAAUUUAAGUUGGAUGUGAAAACUAUGGGCUCAACCCAUAGCCUGCAUCCAAAACUGGAUUUCUUGAGGGCAGGAGAGGAAAGUGGAAUUCCUAGUGUAGCGGUGAAAUGCGUAGAUAUUAGGAGGAACACCAGUGGCGAAGGCGACUUUCUGGACUGUACCUGACGCUGAGGCGCGAAAGCGUGGGGAGCGAAC
rnacentral:rRNA from 1 species